rnacentral:rRNA from 1 species
CCUACGGGGGGCAGCAGUGGGGAAUAUUGCGCAAUGGGCGAAAGCCUGACGCAGCGACGCCGCGUGAGGGAUGAAGGUUCUCGGAUCGUAAACCUCUGUCAGAAGGGAAGAAAUUAUAUCAUGCUAAUCAGUGGUGUAUUGACGGUACCUUCAAAGGAAGCACCGGCUAACUCCGUGCCAGCAGCCGCGGUAAUACGGAGGGUGCGAGCGUUAAUCGGAAUUACUGGGCGUAAAGCGCACGUAGGCUGUAUGACAAGUCAAGGGUGAAAUGCCACGGCUCAACCGUGGAACUGCCUUUGAAACUG